rnacentral:rRNA from 1 species
UUGGAGGGCAAGUCUGGUGCCAGCAGCCGCGGUAAUUCCAGCUCCAAUAGCGUAUAUUAAAGUUGUUGCAGUUAAAAAGCUCGUAGUUGAAUUUCGGGAUCAAUGUUUCGGUCAUGCCGUUGGUAUGUACUGAUAUUAUUGAUUUCUCACCUUCUAAAGAACCGUAAUGCCAUUAAUUUGGUGUCACGGGGAAUUAGGACUGUUACCUUGAAAAAAUUAGAGUGUUUAAAGCAGGCUCACGCUUGAAUACAUUAGCAUGGAAUAAUGAAAUAGGACAUCCGAUUCUAUUUUGUUGGUUUCUAGGAUCGAUGUAAUGAUUAAUAGGGAUAGUUGGGGGCAUUAGUAUUCAAUUGUCAGAGGUGAAAUUCCUGGAUUUAUUGAAGACUAACUACUGCGAAAGCAUUUGCCAAGGAUGUUUUCAUUAAUCAAGAACGAAAGUUAGGGGAUCGAAGACGAUCAGAUACCGUCGUAGUCUUAACCAUAAACUAUGCCGACUAGGGAUCGGAUGAUGUUAAUUUUUUAAUGACUCAUUCGGCGCCUUACGGGAAAC